UGGUGGUGGUGAUGAUGAUGAUGAUGACGAUGAUGGUGAUGAUGAUGAUGAGGAGGAGGAGGAAGAGGGUCAUCGCCAUCAUCGUCAUCAUCAUCAUCGUCGUCG
rnacentral:pre_miRNA from 1 species